GAUCUAUUUUUUUGGGUUUUUCCUUAACAAUUUUUCUUGUGUGUUUUUGUGUGAUUGUGGUAGUUUCUCAUACCUACCCUACCCAAUUAACAAGGAAGAAAUUUUGGAAAAGUGGGGAGUGUUCUUUACCCCAUAGGCUAACUUUUGAGGUUAGAGUAUUGCUUCCUCCAUGGUCCCUAUACCUUUCUACAAUUUUUUUAAUUACAAAAAUACCCUUUAAGCUUUAACCUUUUUACUUUAACCUUAUUUAUUUACCUUUUUUCUGAAACCCUAAAUCAUACCUCCUUUCACUCUUGCGCAACCCCCCUAACUCUCACUCUCUUCUCUUUUUUGCUUUGUUAAGAUCUGUUUCUUCCCACCCUAACUCUGACUUUGCUCUCUUUCUCAUUCAUCUACUCCAGAUCUGUUUGGAUGCAACCCAUUUU
rnacentral:lncRNA from 1 species